rnacentral:rRNA from 1 species
GACGUAGGGAGCGAGCGUUGUCCGGAUUCAUUGGGCGUAAAGAGCGCGUAGGCGGCCGUGCAAGUCGGUUGUGAAAUCCCGGGGCUCAACCCCGGGACUGCGUCCGAUACUGCACGGCUCGAGGCAGGUAGGGGAGAGUGGAAUUCCCGGUGUAGCGGUGAAAUGCGCAGAUAUCGGGAGGAACACCGGUGGCGAAGGCGGCUCUCUGGACCUGUCCUGACGCUGAGGCGCGAAAGCUAGGGGAGCGAACCGG